AGGUCAUUUUGAACGGUCGGAU
rnacentral:miRNA from 1 species